rnacentral:rRNA from 1 species
UACGUAGGUGGCGAGCGUUGUCCGGAUUUACUGGGCGUAAAGAGCGCGCAGGCGGUCAAGUCAGUCGAAUGUGAAAGCCCCCGGCUCAACUGGGGAGGGUCAUUCGAUGCUGCUCGACUUGAAGGCAGGAGAGGGAAGUGGAAUUCCCGGUGUAGUGGUGAAAUGCGUAGAUAUCGGGAGGAACACCAGUGGCGAAGGCGACUUUCUGGCCUGUUCUUGACGCUGAGGCGCGAAAGCUAGGGGAGCAAACGGG